rnacentral:rRNA from 1 species
CAGUCGCCGCGGGAAUACGUAGGGUGCGAGCGUCAAUCGGAAUUACUGGGCGUAAAGCGUGCGCAGGCGGCUUUGCAAGACAGAUGUGAAAUCCCCGGGCUCAACCUGGGAACUGCAUUUGUGACUGCAAGGCUAGAGUGCGGCAGAGGGAGAUGGAAUUCCGCGUGUAGCAGUGAAAUGCGUAGAUAUGCGGAGGAACACCGAUGGCGAAGGCAAUCUCCUGGGCCUGCACUGACGCUCAUGCACGAAAGCGUGGGGAGCAAACAGGAUUAGAUACCCCAGUAGUCCCUGUCUCUUAUAA